GGAGAUAUAGCUCAGUAGGUUAGAGCGGUGGCCUUAUAAGUCAUGUGUCACUGGUUCGAGUCCAGUUAUCUCUA
rnacentral:tRNA from 1 species